rnacentral:misc_RNA from 1 species
GAUGUUUUUUUCUAUAACUUUUAUUACUUUACUAUACCUAUUUUCAUCGAAAGUUACGGCUCAAGCUAAUCAAUUUAGAAUUGUGGGAGGUUUCGAUACCGACAUUUCGGAUGCUCCAUAUAUGGCCUCAUUGCGUGAGUUACGCAAGGAGAUUCGUGCACUGGGCAGUGGACAUUUUUGUGGUGGGACUAUUAUUAAAGAUCGUGUAAUUCUUACGGCAGCUCAUUGUUUAACUAAGUGGGUACGCCUCAGCGAAAAUGUUGCCUGUUCAUUCAGUUAAUUUUUGCUGCAGACGGAGCCCCGCCAAGGCAUUGGUUGUAGUGGGAUUCAAGUAUCUUUCCCUCAAUUGGCCGACGAUGAAGAAACUGAAAAUCUCAAAUUGGAAUUAUCAUAAAAAAUAUAGAAAGGAAAGAAAAGCAAUAUUCGAUAUUGGAUUGAUAUUCACAAUUGAAAAUAUAGAACCCGUUAAUGGGGCAAUCGCAUUUCUGCCCCUUAACACGGUGGAAAUAAGCCCUGGUACUAAAUGUCUAUUGUCUGGAUGGGGUCGAGUUGAGCACAAUGCACCCCAUAGAGCAAGUUGCCUGCAGUCAUUGUGGCAACGGAUUCUAGACAAAAGAGUAUGUUUUAAGAUCGCUAAUAGAUAUGACCUAUUGUGCACCAACUCAGGGCUUCCGACUGGGGCUAGUCGAGGUGAUUCAGGUGGUCCGCUGCGCUGCAACGAUAAACUUGCGGGUGUUAUCGCUGCCGGAGACCUACAUGGUCUCGCUUUAUAUACAGAUGUCCGGCCAUUUGCCGAUUGGAUAGAAGAACAGAUUAGGAAUGGAAUAAUGCCACUUGGCUCGUUUUGCAUUGGGAAGCACGUUGUUUUGGCCAUCAGCAUUUGUGUGGCCACCAUAUGCAAGUCGGGAUUUUAGACUCAGACUAAACCGAGUUACUUACAAUGACUUAUAAAUCAGUAGGCUUAUGAGUUUCGUUCAAUUAACAACUAAUAUUUCGAGAUUUAUAAAAUUCCAAAUUUCCUUGUCUGAAUUUUAGAAAACAAAUAUUAUGUCUCUAAUGCUAAUAUUGAUGAUUCAUAUCGUUUUAUUUUAUCCAUUGACAUCGGCGAAUGCUGGCUCUACGUAUUAAAACAUGUGGAAAUGAAGAAGUCCAGGUAUGUAGAAGCUGCUGGUAUGUGAUAUAUGUGUAACUAGCUCUAAUCAAGAGAUCAGUCAAUAAGGAUCAGAGUGGACUUUUUAUAUAGUUUUUGAAGAAUUGAUACCAACUAAUGUGUAUUUAUAUUGAGGACUAUAACUUUUAUUAAAAUCAACUAUUAACUUGAAUGCAAUUCUCAAGGAAUAUUGAAAAUGACUCCAUAAAAGCUCCACCCAUCGGCAAACCCAUUGGUCAAAUUUGUUUACAUUCCGCUUGGAAACUGGGUCAUUGUGAGCGCGAGCGAGCGAGAUGGCAACAGCAAUGUUGUUAAGCGAUUGUUCGCCGCUGGGACGCAGCUUGAAAUCGCCAACACGAUGGCAACGUGGGACAUGCCCUACCAGCGGCGAUAACAACAAACUGAUCAAAAAAAAAUCAGCAUAACGUUCAAGCCGCUGUAAAUGCUCUAUCUCGUGGAACGAUAAUUGGCCAGAAAUCGCAACUAACUUCAAAUUAUUGUUCAUAUUUUUAUGGAAUGACCUAAGAAAUGGAAAGAAAUAAUUGUAAAUAAUUUUUAAUAUUAGUUUAGCG